GCCAUUUAGCCAUGUGUGUGGAUAGGUGGCAUGAUCCAAGCAUGAAAAACCUAGAUCUUGUCUUGUAGAUCCAACAGUUGAUGCGGAGUCCAUAUAGGGAAACCUUAAAUCAGGUUUCUAAAAAGAGGAGGGGCGAGUUCGAGCCGAAAAAAGAAGGUGAGGAGAGACAGAGAGUGAUGAGCGAGAAAGGAGAGAGAGUGACAAGCAGGAAGAGAGAAAGAGACAAUAACGGGAGAGAGGGAAUGAGGCCGUUGUGUGCGUGGUGGAAGAAGAAGGGCUAUGCACGGUUGCAGAAUAGGCAAUCAUCGCGGCGACCGAAGAAAAAGAAUAAGAGGAACUCUUGCUGGGAUUUUUCUUAUUAUGUUUCCUAUCUUCUUGCCUUGUUUGGUUAUUCCCUUCAGCCAUGCUUCACCUUCCAAGUUCUCGGUAAGUUUUUUAUUCUGUUUGCAUAUGUUUUCUAAUGGUUUACUUUUUGUUUUCUCUUAUCAUUUUCGGCUGAGAAAAUUUGGGUAAUUUCUGCUUUUUUCGCUUUAAUGGAAGAUGGACUCGACACAAAUUCUCCAUGGAAGUUAGUUUCCUUUUUUAAUUCUGGAUUUCAGUGUUAAUGAGCAUUUGUUUUGAAAAUGUUGUGGGAAUUUAAUCCAACGUCUUGGCGGAAUUUCAUUUAUUAAUCUCUGGAGUAACUAUUUACAGAAAUGUUUGUCAAAAUUAGAAACUUGGUUAAUAUGUAGACUUUAAUUUUAUGGUAUUGUUUGUUUUUUUGAUAUAUUUUAUUAGUUAGGAGCUGGUUUAUGGUUGAGAAUAAGAAAGGCCAAACACUAAAGUGUAGAAGGUUACUAAAGAUAGAGAGGGAGGCUACAAAAUUAUUUAUGUAUUUAAAAAUAUUUAUUUAAAAUUUUACAGAUUAUUUAAUGCUUUGUUUUAGUAUAUAUGUACUUUCUGCAGAUCACCAUGUGCAUGUAUGUAUAUUGUACGUGGGAACAGAUUGUUUAUAGAUGAGAAUGUAUGUGUAAUUUUAGAAAAUUAUAUGUGAAUAUAUAUAUAUAUAUCUGCAUGUAUAAAAAUAUUUAUAUGUAUAUUUAUAGCACCGAUUGAAUGUAUAAAUAUGUGUUUACUAAAUAUCUAUAUUUAUGUACAAUAGAAUGCAUGUACAUAAGCUGCAAAUAUACUGUGUUAGGUAUGUAAAUAUGUGUAUAUAUAUAUAUAAAUUUGGAUAUGUUUGGAUACAUGUACAUACAUAUGUAAAUAUAUACAUAUAAAGUUGUGUGUAUAUAUUUAUAUAAUAUAUCUAGGUAUAUACCUAUUUAUAUAUAUGAAUUUUGUGUAUUGGAUCGUAUAUAUAUAUAUAUAUAUAUGUGAAGUAUGGGUGUGUAUUAUGCAUAUAUGUGCAUGUUGAUUUAUGAAAUGGUGUGUGAGUUACGUGUAACUAGAAAUUAUAUCUAUAUUUAUGAAUGUUAAAAAAGGAUAGUAUACACGCACAUAGAUAUAUAUAUAUAUGCACGCAGGAUUUUUUUAUGUGUGUAUAUAUAUAAAUAAGUGUGCAAUGCGUAUGAAUGUUAAAUGGAAAAUUUGUAUAUAUAUAUAUAUAAAUAUACAAAACUACAUAAGUGGUGUGAGAGUUCGUGUGCUGUAAAUGUAUAUAUAAAUAUGCAUGUUGUGUGAAUAUUUAAAGAUACUACUAUGCAAUAGGUAUGUAUAUAUAUAUAUAUAAGAUUUUGGAAUAGGAACAUAGGAAUACAAAAUUACAUACUAAAAGUUGAAGCAUAUGCAUGAUUAUAUUAUAUAUAUAAAUAUGAACAUGUCUUAUACAUAUGUGCUAUUAUAUGAAAUAAAUAUAUACUUAUGAGAGAUAGGAAGAUAUUGAUGGAAGUAUAUGUAUAUAUAUAUAUAUCAUUAUGUAUGUAUUUAUAUAGAAAUGCAGCUUAAGCAUUUGUGUGUGUGUGUGCUGCACAUGUUUGUAUGUAGGAGAUUGUAUAUAUAUAGGAUUGCAUAAAGUGUAUACCAUGUUUGCAUAUACAUGAAAGGUACUUGACUUGGUUUCGAGGUGGUUGGUCGUGUUGAGAUACUUGACUUGGUCACAGGUUGGUAUGUAUGACAGUGGAGGAAAAUUGGAGGCCAAANNNNN
rnacentral:lncRNA from 1 species